UACGGGGGGGGCAAGCGUUGUUCGGAAUUACUGGGCGUAAAGGGCUCGUAGGCGGCCAACUAAGUCAUACGUGAAAUCCCUCGGCUUAACCGGGGAACUGCGUCUGAUACUGGAUGGCUUGAGUUCGGGAGAGGGAUGCGGAAUUCCAGGUGUAGCGGUGAAAUGCGUAGAUAUCAGGAAGAACACCCGUGGCGAAGGCGGUUCUCUGGGACGGUACUGACGCUGAGACGCGAAAGCGUGGGGAGCGAACAGG
rnacentral:rRNA from 1 species